AGAGUUUGAUCAUGGCUCAGGAUUAACGCUGGCGGCGCACAUAAGACAUGCAAGUCGAACGGAAGUCGUUGUAAUGAUGUUGACAUGAACAGAGAACUUGUUCGAAGGAAUUGAAGAUUGACUUACAACAAUGGCUUUAGUGGCGGACUGGUGAGUAACACGUAAGCAACCUGCCUAUUAGAGGGGAAUAACAACGAGAAAUCGUUGCUAAUACCGCAUAUGCCAUAAUAAUCACAUGAUUAUAGUGGGAAAGGAGUAAUCCGCUAAUAGAUGGGCUUGCGUCUGAUUAGUUAGUUGGUGGGGUAACGGCCUACCAAGACGACGAUCAGUAGCCGGACUGAGAGGUUCAACGGCCACAUUGGGACUGAGAUACGGCCCAGACUCCUACGGGAGGCAGCAGUCGGGAAUAUUGCGCAAUGGAGGAAACUCUGACGCAGUGACGCCGCGUAUAGGAAGAAGGUUUUCGGAUUGUAAACUAUUGUCUGCAGGGAAGAAAAAAGACUGUACCUGCAAAGAAAGCUCCGGCUAACUACGUGCCAGCAGCCGCGGUAAUACGUAGGGAGCAAGCGUUGUCCGGAUUUAUUGGGUGUAAAGGGUGCGUAGACGGGAAGAUAAGUUAGUUGUGAAAUCCCUCGGCUCAACUGAGGAACUGCAACUAAAACUGUCUUUCUUGAGUGCAGGAGAGGAAAGUGGAAUUCCUAGUGUAGCGGUGAAAUGCGUAGAUAUUAGGAGGAACACCAGUGGCGAAGGCGACUUUCUGGACUGUAACUGACGUUGAGGCACGAAAGUGUGGGGAGCAAACAGGAUUAGAUACCCUGGUAGUCCACACUGUAAACGAUGGAUACUAGGUGUAGGGGGUAUUAAGCCUUCUGUGCCGUCGCU
rnacentral:rRNA from 1 species